rnacentral:lncRNA from 1 species
CACCAACUUGUAUUACAUGCAACAAAGAACCAUGACAUUCUAGAAUGUCAGGUACAACAGAGACAGCUGUUUGUCCCCCAGUAUCCUUCAGACAAAGCCAUAUAUGAUUGAAGGUUAUCAGUACUGUGCUUUUGGAGGAUUCAGAAGAAGUUAUAUCUGAUUGGGAGAUUGAAAAGGAUUGGCCUGAAGGAGAGGUGGUUUUUGAACUGCAUCUUAAAGGAUGAGGAAACUGAGGCUGAGAGGGUAGAGAACUUUGCCUGAGGUCACUCAGCAGGGACCCACCCAUCACAGUAAAUGCCAGCACUGCUGAUGCCAAAACAAUGUUAUUUGUAGGCCCUCGGAAUUUGUGACCUGAAGGAAGAAGAGCAGGGCCGUGGGAAGUAUGUAACCAGUGUCAUGCCCCUGGUCCCAAGGAAGCAGUGGCUUGGUAAAGAGGGGACCCCCGUCAAUAACUCCCUGUAAUUACUGGGCACCCACUCUGAGCUCCUCAGUGGAAUCCUAAGGUUAAUAAGACUGUCUCUAGCCACUGGGGCUCCCAGCCUGGAGUGAGGUAAGAGGAGUGGAGCCGGCUGGGGAGGGAGACGAACACAUACACAGAAGAUUCAGACACACUUGCAAUGUAUUGCUGGGGAUUCUCCAGCAUUGGCAUGAUGGAGAGGGUGGAGAAUCAUUUGACCGCCUCCGCCUAGGAUUGCAGAGUUCAGCUGGCCAUCAUCCACCAGCCGGGGGACUGUGCACAUCAGUUAACCUCUCCUCUCAGGCCUUGAAAAGCACCAGGCUUAGUACACGUUUGUUAAAUGAAUGCACUGCAGUUUUUUUGCUUGUUAAAGGCAGGUAAUAAUAAUGAUAUUGCUGACUAAGGGCUCCCAUCCACUCCCAGUGAGCCCGGUGCCCCCCCGGGCCUCCUCAGUGAGCUGAGGAGGCUCAGCAGUGCCUGCACGUCCCCUCGCCACAAUGUCAUGUGCCACCUCUUCAAAGGAGGGAUGUACCAGCUAGUGGACGUGACCUUGACUGCAAAGGGCGGCACGCAGCUGAUGUAAUGGUCGCUUAAGUGUUCACAAAUGCCUGAACACCCUGUCCUACCUGGUCCUACCUGGAUGCUGGCCUCAGUAAGCUCCUGGGCUCAUUGAAGAUGAACCUAGCAGUAGUAUUUACACCACUUGUUGUGUGCCCACUGUGGGCCCGGCGCCAUGCCGAGUGCUCUAUGGAUGUGAGAUGAGAACACUGAAGCAGUUUUUUCUAAAGAUAGCUGCCUGGCACAGUGGCUCACAUCUGUAGUCCCAGCAUUUGGGGAGGCCAAGGCAGGUGGAUCACUUGAGGCCAGGAAUUCAAGACCAGCAUGGCCAACAUGUGCUGGGAGAGAAAAGCAUACGACAUAGACAGGGAGGUCAAGCUCCACCACGCAGAUGAGGUGCAGGCCACCAGUCUUCCUCUGCCACAUCUCUUUCUGAAAAGGCAGCCUGUGCUGAGAAACCAUGACUGAGUAAGCCAAGCUUUGUUGGCCGCACCUGCCAAGCCACAGGGUGCCUCAGGCUUGGAGCAUCCCGGAGCCAGUUACAACCCAAGACUUCAGCCUUCUGGAAGGUGUUGGGUCAGCCACCCUGAAGGACGAUCCUGCCCAAGUGACAUGCUUUGCUCUUCCUUCUCACCCAGGACUUCACAUUCACCCUUGCAAUCCAUGUGGGGACACUGUUGGAUAGGAGGCGUGGUCCCAGCGUGGUCUCCCUGUCUGGGCCUCUGCCUAUGCCAAAUGUUUGCCUUACGCUGCACACUCAAGAGGUUCCAUGUAUACAGAUGGGAAUUCCAGAGCUACAGAAAAGGCAGCAAGCACCAUGAUUUAAGCUAACCAGUGUGGAUUCACACCUUCCUCUCUCUCUAUCAGUGGCAGAACUACCAGCUAGAGUAAGAAGUGGUUGAUCCAGGACCUAAACAUUCUGGAAACUCUUGCCCACUUCUGGGAGAAAUGACCCAAUCCAUAGUACUAAGCACACCUUAACUUUCGUAGGACGCAGGCAAGUUGUCAUACCGUGUGCCUAAAUAUAGAAAAAUGAUCCACUGGACUAAUAAAGUGUUAAAUAAA